rnacentral:rRNA from 1 species
GUGAACGCUGGCGGUAGGCCUAACCCAUGCAAGUCGAACGGCAGCACCGUAAGAGCUUGCUCUUACGGGUGGCGAGUGGCGGACGGGUGAGGAAUACAUCGGAAUCUACUUUUUCGUGGGGGAUAACGUAGGGAAACUUACGCUAAUACCGCAUACGACCUACGGGUGAAAGCAGGGGAUCUUCGGACCUUGCGCGAUUGAAUGAGCCGAUGUCGGAUUAGCUAGUUGGCGGGGUAAAGGCCCACCAAGGCGACGAUCCGUAGCUGGUCUGAGAGGAUGAUCAGCCACACUGGAACUGAGACACGGUCCAGACUCCUACGGGAGGCAGCAGUGGGGAAUAUUGGACAAUGGGCGCAAGCCUGAUCCAGCUAUACCGCGUGGGUGAAGAAGGCCUUCGGGUUGUAAAGCCCUUUUGUUGGGAAAGAAAAGCAGCAGGUUAAUACCCCGCUGUUCUGACGGUACCCAAAGAAUAAGCACCGGCUAACUUCGUG